UUAAAACAAGCUUUUGGUAUGUACUUAUGUUUUGGGCUGCUGAACAUUUAAUUUAGUGUGUGGGUUUAUUUGUUUAGAAAUGUUAUGUGGUUUCAACUUGCUGCCAUAAAACUGAGCUUGAACUGCCUCGAUUUUAGUGAACCAUUUCUAGUUUAUGGUUACACACUACUGGUGGCUUGCAAAUUCUUUUAGAUGCUUUCUCCUUUGGUGUUUCUCUCUUUUUUGUGUUUAUUUUAUUUUUAGCUUCUAUCUUCAAUAUUUUUCUGGGAAUAAUGCUUCCUUUGUUGUUGUAAAUGAUAUUGACAGAUAAACUCUGGCUGCGGUAAAGCUUUAAAGUAAGUUUACUUGCUUCAUCUUUCUGAAAUGGUAUUGUUCGAAAUGCUGAAAUCAGGUUUUGGAAAGCUCUUUGUUCUUCUGCUUAAGCUCUAUAUAUUUGAAAAUGCUCAACACUGUUAUAGAGUUUUGAAAGGUUCCUUGAGUUCUGAAGUGGUAAAAAAUAUAAGUUGCAAUAUCUAAUAAUGUAAUCAGUAAUAACGUAAUGCUUAACAAACCUGCAGAUAGUGUAAUGAGAGGAAUAAUAAUAAAACUCAAUGUGGAUGACGUCUAAGAAAUAAGAGAAGAAGGGGCAAGAAUGUCGAAUUGUUCAGUUUAUCAUCUGAGACAUGCGACCUGAUGUUGGGUUAGUGUAGAAGAGGUGUAAGAGAAGUAAAGACGAGAUUUCGGUUAUGGUUUUUGUUUUACAUAUGGAAUUUGUACAUAGUGGAUAUUUUAGAUAUUUACUUGCAGAAUUUUGGCAGUGGAGCUUAUACUUGUGAUUCUAAUUUUACCAUUUCAUUGCCUUGCAUGACAUAAACCCUACUAAUUGUCAAAUUAAUGCCUUCUAGAGCUGCCGAAAAUUGUUAGAGAUAAUAGUUAUGGAUGACAAGGAAGAUGGAAUUUGAUUGAUGAUUUUCAUUGAACGCGUUCUUCUCUUUAAAUAGAGAUUCAUAGAGCUGCUGAAAAUUAUUAUAGAUAAUCACAUCAUCACCCAAAAGAUGCAUCAGACGUGGUUCCCCCGCCAUUCUGAGCGUCCUUCGCCAAUGUUGCUUAAAAAGACAGAGUCCCAAUCUACACGGAGAGCAUUUCUCCGAAAAUCCAAUGAGUAUCAGUUUUUUGUGUAUAUUUUUACCUCAAGAAAAUUGACGUGUCACAGCAUUUCCAAGCUGGAGAAGAGAAUAUAGUUAUAAUCUUAUUUAAGUUUUCUCUACCAUUCCAUGUUCAAAUUCCCUGGUUUCAAUGGGUACGUAUGUAGUCUUUUUGUAAUGUGAUCUGGAUAUCCUUUGGGGAAGCGUAGCUAUUUUAAGAAAAUUAUGGUGAUAUUUGCAUUCAGAGUUAGCUAAA